rnacentral:rRNA from 1 species
CCUACGGGAGGCAGCAGUGAGGAAUAUUGGUCAAUGGCCGGAAGGCUGAACCAGCCAUGCCGCGUGAAGGUCAGUGCCCUAUGGGCGUUAAACUUCUUUUGUGCGGGAGCAAUAAUGGUCACGUGUGGCCAGACGAGAGUACCGUACGAAUAAGCAUCGGCUAACUCCGUGCCAGCAGCCGCGGUAAUACGGGGGAUGCAAGCGUUAUCCGGAUUUAUUGGGUUUAAAGGGUGCGUAGGCUGUGAGGUAAGUCAGCGGGGAAAUGCCCCCGCUCAACGGGGUGAAGUGCCAUUGAUACUGCCUUGCUGGAAGGCGGAUGCCGUGGGAGGAAUGUGUGGUGUAGCGGUGAAAUGCAUAGAUAUCACACAGAACACCGAUUGCGAAGGCAUCUCACGAAUCCGCGAUUGACGCUGAUGCACGAAAGCGUGGGUAUCAAACAGGAUUAGAUACCCCAGUAGUC